rnacentral:tRNA from 1 species
GAGCCAUUAGCUCAGCUGGUAGAGCAUCUGACUUUUAAUCAGAGGAUCAGAGGUUCGAAUCCUCUAUGGCUCA